rnacentral:lncRNA from 1 species
AUACUGCAAUAGACAGACAGAUAGAUGCAUGGAGUAAAGAAAUUAGCCGACAAGAAUAAAUAUAUAUAAAUAAUCAUCAGAAAAUCACUAAAAUAAAACAAUCAAUUGUUGCUUACCAGUAUGUUGAAAAUAUUCUUCAAGAUGUCCUUCACAUUUUUCUUCAGGGAAGUAACAUAUCGAGGUAACCUAUCACUCUUAAGCAUUGUUAUCAGAACAAAAACAACUGUGUUUACUCUUGUUAACAAACUUAGGUCUGAACCAAAUUGUGAAGCAGGUAAUACUCUGGUUUCUGUCAUCGAAAUGAAGAUCUUCAAAGUUCUCUCCAAAAGAUUUUGGGAUCCUAUGAAAAGAUAUAUACAUGGAGUCAUAUAGAAUUCACAGGUCGAGUC